rnacentral:rRNA from 1 species
CGACGGGGGUUGGCGAGCGUUGUCCUGAAUUACUAGGCGUAAAAGGGCAGGCAGGCGGAUCCAUAAGUUUUAUCGUUUUAAGGCGUCGGCUUAACCAGCGUAGGGCGGUAGAUACUGUGGAUCUGGAAUGCGGGUUGGGGAAGACAGAAUUCCUGGUGUAGCGGUGGAAUGCGCAGAGAUCAGGAGGAAUACCGAAGGCGAAGGCAGUCUUCCAAGCCGUUAUUGACGCUCAACUGCGAAAGUGUGGGUAUCAAACAGGAUUAGAUACCCGGGUAGUCCCCUGA